GCACUAAGGGGGCAUUGGACUUUGAUUUACUAAGUCUGUCAUUGGUUAGUAAAAGAAAAUAUAUUUCAGGCUGGUCUCAUAUUGUGUCCUUGGGAACAAUAUGAGAUCAGCCUGAAAUAUACCUGU